rnacentral:rRNA from 19 species
UCGCACCUCGACAGCG